GAAUGACCAGGGCGAGGUGUCAGCUUACGAUUUCUGCAUGCUUCCCCUCACUCCUAAGCUCACUCUCCACAAGCAGAGGAGGAGAGAUGGCGAUGGCAGAAAUCUUCUCACAGAUCACUCACCUGGGGGCAGCCAGCUUCUGUGUCACAAGGACCCUCAAGAAACCCAAUGGAGGAGCUCACAUGGUAAAGAACUGAGGCUUUCUGCCAACAGCCAGUGAGGAACUGAGCCCUGCUGGCAGCUGCCAAAUAAGCAGACCAUCUUGGAAGAAGACCCCUAGCCAGUCAAGCCUUCAGUAACUGCAGCCCCAGCUCAUGCAAGAAACCAGAGUCAGAAUUACUCAGCAAGGCAUUCCUAAAUUUCUGACCCAUAGAAAUUGUAAGAUAAUAAAUGCUUGGGGUUUUUCUUUAA